CUAACAAUCGUUCAGUGGUCAUGAUUUCCGCUUGUCAUUCUACAAGCGCGGGAGACCGGAGUUCGAUUCUCCGUUGGAGA